rnacentral:lncRNA from 1 species
CACUCUCUCCUUUUUUUUUGCUUUGAAAUCUGCCAGCUCUUGGAAUCAGCCUCUACCAGGCCCCUCGGGUUUCGGGCUGGAGGAAGUGAGCAGGGAAGGUGGUUGGAGAUUUCUCAUUCUCCGAGGAAUAUGUUCGAUACAGACACCGCGGGUCUCCUUGUUAUGCUAGAAACCAGCGGUUGUUUGCACGUAAGGAGCUACCACACGGUGAAAAUAUUUUCUAAAUGGCAAACGAGAUCAAGAGGAUGGAGAAGUAAGGAUUGGAGGAGCCCUCUGAGCGUCCAUGAAGCACACAGAGGCAUGCGGAAGAGCUCGGCAAGCUGGAUUUGAACUCACUCUCAGCAUUUCCAGUUCCAUGACCUUGAGCAAACAUAGCUGACCUCUCAAUAGAACACAGUCUCCUCUUUAGAGAGUGAAGAUAGUAAAACACCCCUCACUUUUUUUUUCUCCCCAGAUUAGCAGGUGGGAAAACAGUUUUCAAAGGAUAAAUGAUGAUUCACAUA